rnacentral:ncRNA from 2 species
GCCCCGAAGCGGGGGUACCGCGGCCCUGGGGCCACGGUUGAGACAGUCCCAUCGAACCUGAUCCGGUUGAUACCGGCGUAGGGAAGCUUCGCUACAGCAGCU